AAGUCGUAACAAGGUUUCCGUAGGUGAACCUGCGGAAGGAUCAUUAAUAAUUUUUUCAUCUUUGAUGAAAUAAAUUAAACCUUGUGUGCAAACAUUGUAUUGAAGGAAGAAAAUGAAGAGAAAAAACGAUGAAGCUCUGCAAAAGGAGUGGAUCCUAUUUUCCUCUUUACAUUUUCAACCUAAAACAAAAAACACAUCAUCAAAAUUAUAUAAAACAAAAAAUAUAUUAUAAUAAAAUACAACUUUCAACAACGGAUCUCUUGGCUCUCGCAUCGAUGAAGAACGCAGCGAAAUGCGAUACGUAAUGUGAAUUGCAGAAUUCAGUGAAUCAUCGAAUCUUUGAACGCAUAUUGCACUCUCUAGUAUUCUGGAGAGUACACCUGUUUCAGCAUCAUGAAUACCUUCAAAUUCUUGCUUUUUUUGGGCAGAAAUUUGGAUUUGGGCUUUGCCGUUUAUAUAUUCUCGGCUUGCCUUAAACGAUGCUAAAACCACACCGCAUGGAAAAAAGGCGGACGAUAAAGCGUAAUAUUUUGAACUUUCGGGUCCAGUCUUUUCGCUAAAUCCCCUCUGUCUAUCUCUAGCUUGUGGAAUACCAAAAAUUAUGGAAGAUCUUAAUAAUGUUUAUCAUUAUUAAACUUUUUUAACUAUGUCUGAAGUCAGGUGGGAUUACCCGCUGAACUUAAGCAUAUCAAUAAGCGGAGGAAAAGAAACUAACAAGGAUUCCCUAGUAACGGCGAGUGAAGCGGGAAAAGCUCAAAUUUAAAUCUGCAGGUUCCCUGUCCGAGUUGUAGUUUCAAGAAACGUUUUCGGUGCGCCCCUGGGUAUAAGUCCUUUGGAACAGGGCAUCAUAGAGGGUGAGAAUCCCGUAUAUGACCCGGAGCCGCGUACUAUGUGUCACGUUUUCUAAGAGUCAGGUUGUUUGGGAAUGCAGCCUAAAAUGGGUGGUAAAUUUCAUCUAAAGCUAAAUAUUUGCGAGAGACCGAUAGCGAACAAGUACCGUGAGGGAAAGAUGAAAAGAACUUUGAAAAGAGAGUUAAACAGUACGUGAAAUUGUUGAAAGGGAAACGUUUGAAAUCAGUCAUGCGGGCGGGUAAUCAGCUUGGCCUUCGGGUCUUGUGCACUUUCCCGUCUUCGCAGGUCAGCGUCGGUUUUCUUGCUGUCGGAUAAAAGCCAAGGGAAUGUAGCUCCACCCUUCACGGGGAGGGGUGUUAUAGCCCUGGUUAAUACAACGGUGGAGACCGAGGUCUGCAGUCGAUGCUUUCUCUUUUGGAGGCUGGGAAAUCUAUCGCUCAUUCGCACCCGCGCCUAGACAGCUUGCUGACUAGGUGUGUGGUCGGGGGUGACACGGUGGCCUACCACACAUUUCGACUUAGGUCGCUGACUUAAUGGUUUUAAAUGAC
rnacentral:rRNA from 1 species